CAGUCGCCGCGGUAAUACGAAGGGUGCGAGCGUUAAUCGGAAUUACUGGGCGUAAAGCGUGCGCAGGCGGUUGUGUAAGACAGGUGUGAAAUCCCCGGGCUUAACCUGGGAACUGCGCUUGUGACUGCACAGCUAGAGUAUGGCAGAGGGGGGUGGAAUUCCACGUGAAGCAGUGAAAUGCGUAGAGAUGUGGAGGAACACCGAUGGCGAAGGCAGCCCCCUGGGCCAAUACUGACGCUCAUGCACGAAAGCGUGGGGAGCAAACAGGAUUAGAUACCCGUGUAGUCCCUGUCUCUUAUAC
rnacentral:rRNA from 1 species